UACGUAGGGGGCAAGCGUUGUCCGGAUUUAUUGGGCGUAAAGAGCGUUGUCAGGCGGCCAGGUAGGUCUGCUGUGAAAACUCGAGGCUUAACCUCGAGCUGUCGGCGGAAACCAUCUGGCUAGAGUCCGGAAGAGGAGAAUGGAAUUCCCGGUGUAGCGGUGAAUGCGCAGAUAAUCGGGAAGAACACCCGUGGCGAAGGCAGGUUCGUCUGGGACGGU
rnacentral:rRNA from 1 species